AUAUCAAUAAGCGGAGGAAAAGAAACCAACAGGGAUUGCCUCAGUAACGGCGAGUGAAGCGGCAACAGCUCAAAUUUGAAAUCUGGCCUUCUGGUCCGAAUUGUAAUUUGUAGAGGAAGCUUUUGGUGAGGUACCUUCCGAGUUCCUUGGAACAGGACGCCUUAGAGGGUGAGAGCCCCGUACGGUUGGAUGCCAAUCCUUUGUAUAGCUCCUUCGACGAGUCGAGUAGUUUGGGAAUGCUGCUCUAAAUGGGAGGUAAAUUUCUUCUAAAGCUAAAUACCGGCCAGAGACCGAUAGCGCACAAGUAGAGUGAUCGAAAGAUGAAAAGCACUUUGAAAAGAGGGUUAAAUAGUACGUGAAAUUGUUGAAAGGGAAGGGUUUAUGACCAGACCUUUGCCUUGCGAAUCAUCCGGUGUUCUCACCGGUGCACUUCGCUUGGUUUAGGCCAGCAUCGAUUCUGGUAGGGGGAUAAAGACUUUGGGAAUGUGACUCUUCGGAGUGUUAUAGCCCAUUGUGUAAUACCCUUACUGGGAUCGAGGACCGCGCUUUGCAAGGAUGCUGGCAUAAUGGUCAUCAACCACCCGUCUUGAAACACGGACCAAGGAGUCGAACAUUUAUGCGAGUGUUUGGGUGUUAAACCCUCACGCGUAAUGAAAGUGAACGGAGGUGAGAGCCUUAGGGUGCAUCAUCGACCGAUCCUGAUGUCUUCGGAUGGAUUUGAGUAAGAGCAUAACUGUUCGGACCCGAAAGAUGGUGAACUAUGCGUGGAUAGGGUGAAGCCAGAGGAAACUCUGGUGGAGGCUCGCAGCGGUUCUGACGUGCAAAUCGAUCGUCAAAUCUGCGCAUGGGGGCGAAAGACUAAUCG
rnacentral:rRNA from 1 species